rnacentral:rRNA from 1 species
GAUGAACGCUGGCGGCGUGCCUAAUACAUGCAAGUCGAGCGAACGCACCAGAAGCUUUCUUCUCUGAUUUUAUCGGCGGACGGGUGAGUCACACGUGGAUAACCUACCUAUCCGACUGGGAUACCUUCACGAAACCGUAUCUAAUACCGGAUAAUAUUUUGAACCUCAUUGUUCCAGCGUUAAAUACGGUCUUUCUUUCACUUAUAGCUUAAUCCGCGCUUCAUUAGCUAGUUGGUAAGGUAACGGCUUAACAAGGCAACGAUGCAUAGCCGACCUGAGAGGGAGGACGGACAGACGGGAACUGAGAAAGGGUAGAGACUCCUACGGGAGGCAACAGUAGGGAAUCUUACGCAAGGGGGGAGAGGGGAAUGGAGCAACGCCGCGGGAGUGAUGAAGGAGUACGGAUCGGAAAACUCUGAAAGUAGGAGAGAACAAAAGUGCAAGUAACUGUGAAGAUAAUGACGGUACCGAAUCAGAAAGCCACGGCUAACUACGUG